rnacentral:lncRNA from 1 species
AAUAGAGGCCAGGACUCCUGGCUCCCCGUCCAGACUCUGAGGACCCAGGAGCCUCCAUGGGUACACUCAGAGGCCACACUAGAUGCAAAAAGAACCAUUUACAGAGAAGUGAGAGGUUCUCAAAGGCUCAACCAAAUGCCUCUGCCAGGAGAAUCUUUCAGAGUGUCCUGGAACAUUGGAAAUAGGCUUAAAGCUUAAAUGAUGAAUCAGAAGAGUUAUGCUGUAUUCUAAUGCUGCCACUAGGGCCACACAGGGUGCCAACAUCCAAUCUCAAGAUCUUCGGGAAAUAUGCUCACCCUCCAAAAUACUUACAGAUGUGUCUCCUCUUUUUUGUAAAAUAAAUGCUCUUCUUAUAUUUGGUGUUUCCUUGGUAUGGCCACAAGAUUAUUUAGUAUGACAUAUUUAAUGGUGAAGAUAAAGGUGCUUUUCUAGACCUCAAACGCUAAGACAACAUGGUGUAA